rnacentral:rRNA from 1 species
CACGCCGUAAACGAUGAGUGCUAGGUGUUGGGCAGCAAUGCUCAGUGCCGAAGUAAACACAAUAAGCACUCCGCCUGGGGAGUACGUACGCAAGUAUGAAACUCAAAGGAAUUGACGGGGACCCGCACAAGCAGCGGAGCAUGUGGUUUAAUUCGAAGCAACGCGAAGAACCUUACCAAGGCUUGACAUCCCCUUGACAGAUGCAGAGAUGUGUCCUCCUCUUCGGAGGCAAGGGAGACAGGUGG